rnacentral:rRNA from 1 species
UGCAAGUCGAGCGGGGAAGGUUGCUUCGGUAACUGACCUAGCGGCGGACGGGUGAGUAAUGCUUAGGAAUCUGCCUAUUAGUGGGGGACAACAUUCCGAAAGGAAUGCUAAUACCGCAUACGUCCUACGGGGGAAAGCAGGGGAUCUUCGGACCUUGCGCUAAUAGAUGAGCCUAAGUCGGAUUAGCUAGUUGGUGGGGUAAAGGCCUACCAAGGCGACGAUCUGUAGCGGGUCUGAGAGGAUGAUCCGCCACACUGGGACUGAGACACGGCCCAGACUCCUACGGGAGGCAGCAGUGGGGAAUAUUGGACAAUGGGCGGAAGCCUGAUCCAGCCAUGCCGCGUGUGUGAAGAAGGCCUUUUGGUUGUAAAGCACUUUAAGCGAGGAGGAGGCUCCUUUAGUUAAUACCUAAAGUGAGUGGACGUUACUCGCAGAAUAAGCACCGGCUAACUCUGUGCCAGCAGCCGCGGUAAUACAGAGGGUGCGAGCGUUAAUCGGAUUUACUGGGCGUAAAGCGUGCGUAGGCGGCUUUUUAAGUCGGAUGUGAAAUCCCUGAGCUUAACUUAGGAAUUGCAUUCGAUACUGGAAAGCUAGAGUAUGGGAGAGGAUGGUAGAAUUCCAGGUGUAGCGGUGAAAUGCGUAGAGAUCUGGAGGAAUACCGAUGGCGAAGGCAGCCAUCUGGCCUAAUACUGACGCUGAGGUACGAAAGCAUGGGGAGCAAACAGGAUUAGAUACCCUGGUAGUCCAUGCCGUAAACGAUGUCUACUAGCCGUUGGGGCCUUUGAGGCUUUAGUGGCGCAGCUAACGCGAUAAGUAGACCGCCUGGGGAGUACGGUCGCAAGACUAAGACUCAAAUGAAUUGACGGGGGCCCGCACAAGCGGUGGAGCAUGUGGUUUAAUUCGAUGCAACGCGAAGAACCUUACCUGGCCUUGACAUACUAGGAACUUUCCAGAGAUGGAUUGGUGCCUUCGGGAACUUAGAUACAGGUGCUGCAUGGCUGUCGUCAGCUCGUGUCGUGAGAUGUUGGGUUAAGUCCCGCAACGAGCGCACCCUUUUCCUUAUUUGCCAGCGGGUUAAGCCGGGAACUUUAAGGAUACUGCCAGU